UUUAAUAGGCUCAGACGCUGAUUGGCUGAGCGGCUGCAGCAGCUGCGUCUCCCAUUGGUUUCUUUCCACCGGGGGCGGGACGGGCAGCCGGAUCCUGGCUGUGAUUGGCUGCUGGGGAGCGCAGGGCGGGAGCGCCGUUCCGGCUCCGAAGGAGGAAGGGUUGUUUGGCGCCUUGGUCUCGUGCCGGUCCCCCGCCCGCGCUGCCGUUCUCUGAUUGGUGCGCUCGGGGCGGGCCCCGGCCCCGCGCGAGGCCCCGCCCCCGCCGCUCCCGGUUGUCUCCCGGUGUCCUCCCGGUUCUCUCCCGGUCUCCCGGGCGGGGAUACUUCGCGGGUUUCGGCCAUGAGCAGAAGCGUCUUGCGAGGAAAGCGCCACGGACCACCACCGAGCUGCAGGCCGUGCGGCUUGCGCUGCGUCUGGAAGGAGAUCCAGGCUGCGAGACAAGGCUGCUAUGCAAGAUUCCCUCUGUGCCUGGACUUCGCCCAGAAAAGGCAUCCAGAAUGGAAUCCCGUGUUCUGCACCACCACCUGGCAAACAUUUUGGACAAAAUCUUGGACUAGGCAACUGAAGAAGCAGACCUGCCAGCUUAAAGAAUGCCAGUACUAUGAAUGCUAUCUGUAAUAUUCUGUGUAAAUUCACAUAUUUCGUCUGUAAAAACUAGCAGUAUCAAAAAGUUGAUUUAGCAGUUCAAAGCAGUCACUUCACAGAUAAGAAAUAUUCAUUAUACAUAUGUAUUGUUGGUUUUUUGGGGUUUUUUUGGAGGUUUUGUUUAGCACUUUGCCUAAGAGUGGAGAUGACCAAAGCCAAUGUUUUCUUGGUGUUUUUCUUGGAUUCAGAAACACCAGGAGACAGCUCACCAGGAGACAGCUGACUCAAAUGAAAAGGAGUGAGCCCCCCCCCAGGUCUCUUCUCACACACUACCUUAGGCUGGCCUAGGGAAAGGCUGCAAAACAGAAGUAACAGUAACACAGAAAGGGAAGUACAGGACUAAAUCAGAAAAUGUUUUUUGAACACCUCAAUAGCUGAGUCCACCCUGUGCUAUGUACCCCACCACCUUUCAUCAUGCCCAUCCCUCAGUCUCUGUUUUUCAAAAGCUUUGAGCCAUGUAAUUUCUGAUCUCUUAAACUCAGCCUCAAAAGCAUAAAACACCGGCUGCCAUCACAACAUGCACCUUGCUUCUUCCUUGCUUGAGCCCCUCCUUGCAACCCCUGCCCUCAGUUGCAAGCUCUCUGCCCAGGGACCACCUGUGACUAUGAUGUUUUCUGGAGUGGAUCCCACUGUUUGACAGCACGCUUCUAGACCCACUAUGCACAACACUACAAUAAAUCCAUGUCUAUGCUGCAUGUAACUUCCUUGAGCAACAAAUGAAGAAGAGCUUGACUUGCUGUCAUAUAGAUUUGUUUGAAAAGACUGUAGUGUAUAUAUGAAAUACCAUUAAUAAAGUGUUAAAGUUUCAUGCCCAGUGUUAUCCAGGAAUUCCAGAAAUAUUUUAACACAUUGAAAGAGCAGAUGAAAUUGAAGUCCUAUAAACAUUGCUUUGUUAUUCAAGUUUAAUACUUUAACCAUGGAAAAUGGCAAUAGACAUAGAGGCAUUCCUACAGUUAAGUCACCUUAAAGAGUUUCUAAAGACAACCAAGGAGCUGGAUACAGAGCAGCUUUGACAGAACAUCCAAUUCCAGCGCUGGUGAUGGCAAGGUGAAGCUGUUUGUCGUGGGAAGUAUGGAUGCCUUUCUGAAGUGGCAGAGGACUGUGAAACUCUCCUAUAACCUAGAAUAAAAGCAAACACAAGCAGUGUGGCUGCAAAGGAAGACUUUGCUAAGGAAGCACAGGGAGUGGCAGGUAAGAGCAAAGACUGGUAUUGUCAUAAGUUACCCCUGUGAAACACAAAGCUCUGUUUUGUGUCAGGUACAUACAGGCAACGUGUGUAUUUGUGAUUGUAGUAUGUGUGGAAACAGACCAUGGGACAGUUAUAAAGAUGAAUCCUAAUAAAAACUGAGGAAAGUAAAGCAUGGAAGAAGGCCUUUGAACAUAUCCUUUGUUUGCAAUUAACCUUUAUAAGUCUUAAGUUGAUUUAGGAGCAUUUGAAUUAAAGCUUUAAGGAUUUUGCUUUUUGACAGGAACUUUCUGCUUGUAGCCAAGCCUUAAAGAGUUUUGCAAUAAUAACCGUUUGAAGUAUAAUUUCAGAAUAUUGCUUGUAGUAAGGAUCUUUGAAACUAUAGCUUUAGAAUAUAUAAAAAGGAAAUACGCAUAUCUCAGGCCUUAGCAUAACAGUGAAAAGCAGCUUGAGAAAGGAAGAUGAACAUCAACACAAUGAUUAAUAGUUUUGACCAAGGGAAGCUGGACAUCACUGUUAUGAGAUUAAUAGUCCUUGCAAUUAAAAGGUGAACCCACAUCUGGAAUCUGGACCUCACCAGAUGGGAGACUUCUUACUUCUUUCAGAAGCUGGACCUGCACCAUCUGGGGAUACUCCUUUUCUGGGAUACAUCCUGAGAAAAACUAAAUCACAAUAGUGUAUAGAAUUGUGAUAUAAAAAUUGGGAAUAGAAACUGCUGAUGAGUAAAAAUUGAGAAUAGAAACUGCUGAGAAAGCUUAUGAGUACCCCUAUAAAUACCUGUAAGCCUCAACUAUCGGUGUGCAGUUGGAGGGAAAACUUCCCCCACUCUACCCAGCGCUGUAUUGCUCAUACUUUACCAUAUUAAUUAAUAAAUUGAUUGCUGCUUGAA